GGUUCAUGAUCACAAUCACGCUGCUGGAGGUUGCCCUUUUCCUGUACAACGGGGUCCUACUGGAUCAGUUUGUGCUGCAGGUGACACAUCCUCGGUACCUGAAGAACUCUCUGGUUUACCACCCGCAGCUCCGCGCGCAGGCUUGGCGCUACGUGACGUACAUCUUCAUGCAUGCAGGGGUGGAACAACUGGGACUCAAUGUGGCACUGCAGCUGCUGGUAGGAGUACCCCUGGAGAUGGUGCAUGGAGCCACCCGAAUUGGGCUUGUCUACGUGGCUGGUGUUGUGGCAGGCUCCUUGGCGGUGUCUGUGGCUGACAUGACUGCACCGGUUGUGGGCUCUUCCGGAGGGGUGUAUGCGCUCGUCUCUGCCCACCUAGCCAACAUUGUCAUGGUGAGCAGCCUUCGUCCGUUCCCUGUGGGUCUUCCUAUCUCUCCUCCGUCAUCGUCAUAGCUUGGCUUGGACAUCCAUCCUCUGUAGUUCUCUCGGCCCAGGCCUGCUGAGUGCCGGGCUAACCUGCCAGUCACGAGGCUCAUGCCUGCUUCUCCCUCUGCAGACCCAUUUCACCUGGGUCCUUCCCAGAUGAGGUCAUAUUUCUCAGUCCAGGCUCGACCUACAAGUGUACCUGUUUCUCUAUUCCACCCGUUUCCUCAAAAAAAAAAUGUUAAAAAUCUG
rnacentral:lncRNA from 1 species